rnacentral:tRNA from 1 species
GGGGGUGUAGCAAUCUGGUGAAUGCAGCGAACUCAUAAUUCGCCUUAGGCGAGUUCGAUCCUCGCCACCCCCAUCA